rnacentral:rRNA from 1 species
UACGGGGGGGGCAAGCGUUGUUCGGAAUUACUGGGCGUAAAGGGUUCGUAGGUGGCUUGCUAAGUCAGACGUGAAAUCCCUCAGCUUAACUGGGGAACUGCGUCUGAGACUGGCAAGCUUGAGUGCAGGAGAGGAAUGCGGAAUUCCAGGUGUAGCGGUGAAAUGCGUAGAUAUCUGGAGGAACACCGGUGGCGAAGGCGGCAUCCUGGACCGGCACUGACACUGAGGAGCGAAAGCCAGGGGAGCAAACGGG